AUUAAACUAAUCACUACCAUAAUGAUAGGUUCAAUUGAACCUCCAAACUCACCUCAAAUCACUCGGGAAAUAGACCCAUUUCUGAUGUUUUCUACCGCCAAACAAGGGAGACAAAAGCUGCUGCUCUUAAUUCACAGGAACAGUGAGCCACAGACAGCUAAUCACGUCCGGAACCAAAAGCACCUGCCCUAUCUGCCUCUACAUUUGGAUUGCUGUUAUACUUUGUAUAAGAAGGUGCUAAUAACCUGGAGGCUCUUAGACUGGGUGAUCUAAUCCCUUUGUACGAUAAAGACUUGCCAUGCCGAGAGUGGUUGCCAGAUCUUGGACCAAGUGCUUUAGAGGAAAUCUGGCAACAUGCUGAAGAACCAGCAGUAAAUGUGCUCGUUUGCCCAUUUAGUGCUUCGGAUGACCGAUGUGACUACCCGGAUGUUUCCUGCCUCUGCGUCAUUCUCAAAAAGUGCUUGGUUUCUUGUAUUCUUUCACAGACAAAAUAUAAUAUUUGUAAGAUAGAAAGCUAUAAUUUGUAAGAUAGAACGCCAAAUAUCUUAUUUGUAAGAUAGAAAGCCAAAAUUUCAUAAUCGCGUUCAUUGCAAGUGUUUUCACAAGUGAUUAAAGUGGUUUGGACUUGAAAUCAUUAAAAAUACAAUUCACAAAUACAAUGACUUAAAAACACACCUUCUAUUAUUAGGAUUUAUUUUAAUUUUUAAUUUUCAUAAAAAGAAUCAUUAAAAGAAAAUUACAUUUUUGAAAAGUAGUAGUAGUAGUAAUAGCAAUCUAAUAAAAAAAAAAAAAAGAUGUUUAAAAAGAAACAGGACAUGUUUCAUCAAAGAAAAGUUGAUUAUGGAUGGAGGCAGAUGGGAUUGGGUGUUGAGCUUCAGUUGCCCGAAACACAAAAGCCUCCAAUUGUGUAAUCUUUGAUAUUUCUUAGAAUUUUUUUUUUUUAAUUUAACUCUUUACUCUUAUCCAUUUUUUCCUCUCUCAAAUCAACGUCAUGUGGUGCAACCAACAUACAGAAGCAUGCAGAAAACUAGGAAGUGAUAUAAUAGAGACGACUCCUGCAGCCCCU
ensembl:lncRNA